AUACAGAGGGUGCAAGCGUUAAUCGGAAUUACUGGGCGUAAAGGGUGCGUAGGCGGCAUGUUAAGUCAGAUGUGAAAGCCCUGGGCUCAACCUAGGAACUGCAUUUGAAACUGGCAAGCUAGAGUAUGGUAGAGGAAAGUGGAAUUUCCGGUGUAGCGGUGAAAUGCGUAGAUAUCGGAAGGAACACCAGUGGCGAAGGCGGCUUUCUGGACCAUUACUGACGCUGAGGCACGAAAGCGUGGGGAGCAAACAGGAUUAGAUACCCGAGUAGUCC
rnacentral:rRNA from 1 species